CAGUCGCCGCGGUAAUACAGAGGGUGCAAGCGUUAAUCGGAAUUACUGGGCGUAAAGCGCGCGUAGGUGGUUUGUUAAGUUGGAUGUGAAAUCCCCGGGCUCAACCUGGGAACUGCAUCCAAAACUGGCAAGCUAGAGUAUGGUAGAGGGUGGUGGAAUUUCCUGUGUAGCGGUGAAAUGCGUAGAUAUAGGAAGGAACACCAGUGGCGAAGGCGACCACCUGGACUGAUACUGACACUGAGGUGCGAAAGCGUGGGGAGCAAACAGGAUUAGAUACCCCUGUAGUCCCUGUCUCUUAUAC
rnacentral:rRNA from 1 species